GGGGAUGUAGCUCAGUGGUAGAGCACUUGCCUAACACACACAAGCACUGGGCUCAAUCCCCAGCACAGCCA
rnacentral:tRNA from 1 species